rnacentral:rRNA from 1 species
UCGAGCGAUCUUCUUCGGAAGAGAGCGGCGGACGGGUGAGUAACGCGUGGGUAACCUGCCCUGUACACACGGAUAACAUACCGAAAGGUAUGCUAAUACGGGAUAACAUAAGAAAGUCGCAUGGCUUUCUUAUCAAAGCUUUUGCGGUACAGGAUGGACCCGCGUCUGAUUAGCUAGUUGGUAAGGUAACGGCUUACCAAGGCGACGAUCAGUAGCCGACCUGAGAGGGUGAUCGGCCACAUUGGAACUGAGACACGGUCCAAACUCCUACGGGAGGCAGCAGUGGGGAAUAUUGCACAAUGGGCGAAAGCCUGAUGCAGCAACGCCGCGUGAGCGAUGAAGGCCUUCGGGUCGUAAAGCUCUGUCCUCAAGGAAGAUAAUGACGGUACUUGAGGAGGAAGCCCCGGCUAACUACGUGCCAGCAGCCGCGGUAAUACGUACGGGGCUAGCGUUAUCCGGAAUUACUGGGCGUA